UACGGAGGAUCCAAGCGUUAUCCGGAAUCAUUGGGUUUAAAGGGUCCGUAGGCGGGCCUGUAAGUCAGUGGUGAAAUCCGGCGGCUUAACCGUCGAACUGCCAUUGAUACUGCAGGCCUUUGAAUUAUUGGGAAGUAACUAGAAUAUGUAGUGUAGCGGUGAAAUGCUUAGAUAUUACAUGGAAUACCGAUUGCGAAGGCAGGUUACUAUCAAUACAUUGACGUGAUGGACGAAAGCGUGGGGGAGCGAACAGG
rnacentral:rRNA from 1 species